UACGGAGGGUGCAAGCAUUAAUCGGAGUUAUUGGGCGUAAAGGGCGCGUAGGCGGGGAUGAAAGUCAGAUGUGAAAUCCCAGGGCUCAACCUCGGAACUGCAUUUGAAACUCCAUCUCUCGAGGAUUGGCGGAGAAAACGGAAUUCCACAAGUAGCGGUGAAAUGCGUAGAUAUGUGGAAGAACACCUGUGGCGAAAGCGGUUUUCUAGCUUUUACCUGACGCUAAUGCGCGAAAGCAAGGGGAUCAAACAGG
rnacentral:rRNA from 1 species